UGGGGAGUGGUGCAAUGGUAGCACAGAGGCCUUUGGAGCCUUUGAUCUUGGUUCGAGUCCAGGCUCCCCAG
rnacentral:tRNA from 1 species